rnacentral:lncRNA from 1 species
GAAUUAUUAAGCCAAAUAAAAUCCUUAUUUAAUAGUCCUUGUAGUUGCUUUUUCAAUUCCACUUACUCAAAUGAUGUCAUUCUGUAAAGAGCCUUAGAUAUUGGGAUUGUCCCAAAGACCAAAUCAAAAGCAAAAUCACGUUUUGGAGGUAAUUCAGGCAAAUCAUUUUGGGAUACAUUAGGCAAGGAGAUAAAUCAUAUCCAAUACCCUCAAAAUAAAAGAUCGAUUGAUCAAAUAUGCAAAAAGUGAUCAUUUGUUAUAUACCAAUCCAUACUGGUAUGAUAGGAAGAUAGUCAAUCCAUACCAAGUAUAAUAUCAAAACUCCAAAUCUCUAGGAGAACUAAAUCAACAAAAGUUCAAGUUCUCCAAUAAAAAUCAGACAAGAGGACCAUAUUCAAGUUCGUUAUCAAAGAAUCUCCAAUGAUUGUAUUUACAUAUAUCACAUAAUACAAUGGUCUAGGUUGAAUACCCAAGUGAUAAGCAAAAUAUUACAAAUCAAAUCGUAGAUAGGACCCAUGGUCAAACAAAUAUUUAUAUUCUUUCAUAAACAUGCAUAAUACCUUCGAUCACUAAUUCAAAAGUUUUAGAAUCAUGUUCAGUAAUAGCAUACACUCUGACUUGGGUUGAUGGUUUAUGAUGUAGUGACUCUUUUUUCUUGUUCAAAGGGUAGUCUUUUAUUUCAUGAUCCAACUUUCUACAAGCAAAAUAGACUCCAGUCACCCGAAACACAAAUUUGUUUCAUAAUUUAACUUAUAAUUCACACAUGAUUGAGUCUUUUGUGGUGACUUCCCAUUUCAAAUCCAAAGGUCUUGAACCUCUUAUUAUUACUUUCUGAUUCAUUUCUAAUCAUAUUUUUAUUGCUAAACUUAUCCUUAUAAUUCUUGCCACAUAUCUCCAAAAAUUCUUUUCAUUGUUGCCAAUAAUAAUCAGCCUCUACUUCCAAUAUAAGGUAGCAAAAGAAAUCUUUUGAUCAUUAGAACAAUUUUGUAUAUCAAAUAUCUUCUCCAUUUGCAUCAUCCAUUUUUCUACCACCAAUGAAAUUAAGUUCAUCAUGCUUCUGCUGCGCCACACUGAUUCAAUAUCCCCAUUCAAUCCUUUCAUUCCCCUUAAUUAAUCAGAAACAAAUGAAAUAGGAGGACCAAAUGUCCCUAUCAUCCCAGAUUCCUAAAAUGCAUCAAAGAAAAUUUCCACCAAUCACUAUAGUUCAUUAGACCUCAAUAUAUUUUGCACGUCAACAUAUCAAAUAUUUUAGUAAUCCUCAAACAAUGCUCUGAUACCAACUCUGUCACG